rnacentral:rRNA from 1 species
AGACGGAGGGUGCAAGCGUUAAUCGGAAUUACUGGGCGUAAAGCGCGUGUAGGCGGCUUGGCAAGUCGGGCGUGAAAGCCCGGGGCUCAACCCCGGAAUGGCGCUCGAAACUGCCUGGCUUGAGUCCCGGAGAGGAGGGCGGAAUUCCCGGUGUAGAGGUGAAAUUCGUAGAUAUCGGGAGGAGCACCAGCGGCGAAGGCGGCCCUCUGGACGGUGACUGACGCUGAGACGCGAAAGCGUGGGGAGCAAACAGGAUUAGAUACCCCGGUAGUCC